UACGGAGGAUGCGAGCGUUAUCCGGAUUUAUUGGGUUUAAAGGGUGCGUAGGCGGGCUUUUAAGUCAGCGGUAAAAAUUCGAGGCUCAACCCCGUCCGGCCGUUGAAACUGGGGGUCUUGAGUGGGCGAGAAGAAGGCGGAAUGCGUGGUGUAGCGGUGAAAUGCAUAGAUAUCACGCAGAACCCCGAUUGCGAAGGCAGCCUUCCGGCGCCCUACUGACGCUGAGGCACGAAAGCGUGGGGAUCGAACAGG
rnacentral:rRNA from 1 species